GUUCAGUGAUGUUACAAAUGUCUGACCUGAACACAAAUGUGGACUACCUCUUACUGAUGAA
ensembl:snoRNA Small nucleolar RNA SNORD78